CCCUUAGAUGUUCUGGGCCGCACGCGCGCUACACUGAUGCAUUCAACAAGCCUAGCCUUGACCGAGAGGUCCGGGUAAUCUUUGAAACUGCAUCGUGAUGGGGCUAGAUUAUUGCAAUUAUUAAUCUUCAACGAGGAAUGCCUAGUAAGCGUGAUUCAUCAAAUCGCGUUGAAUACGUCCCUGCCCUUUGUACACACCGCCCGUUGCUCCUACCGAUUGAGUGGUCCGGUGAGGCUUUGGGAUCUGAGCGGAAAGAGCGUUUCGCUGUUUCUGCUCGGAAAACUCAGUCGAACCUUAUCAUUUAGAGGAAGGAGAAGUCGUAACA
rnacentral:rRNA from 1 species